UUUUUACCGUGUUAAUUGUUAUCAGUGACCGGGCCCUGCUUAUACUAAGGUAUAAGGUCUAUGUUACACGCACAUGAAAAUAAUAAUACAAAAUGGCAAUAACACAUAAUAGCCCGAGUACUUCGCAAAAAAGGAAGAUCGCUGGACUCAUUAAAAAUUACAAAUAAAAUGCUCAAAAUCAUAAUGGACAACAGAGUGGCUGAACAUUUGAAUGUUAAUGGGAAAAGAGGCAUAAAGUUACUGUUUAUUAAAAUGGACUUAUACACUAUUGAAAUAGAAAUUGCCAAAAUAUGCGUUUAAACCAAGCUCUAGUUUAUCCAAACACACUAAAAGAGAAAUAAGGAAUGCAUUAGUGAAGAAAAAAAUUUUAAAUUUUUGUUCUACUAGCACUAGCCCAACAGAAGUAGAUACAACUGAAAAACGUAUAAAAUGUAAAAAAAAGAAAGGUUUUAAUGCACCUAGUCGUGAGGAAGUUCUUCCUAAUGGCUCCAAGAAAGAAAAACAAACAUUGAACACCCAUUUAUUGUUCAGGUAAAAAUAAAAAACCAACUAAAAAAGUAUUAUUCCAAAGUUAUGAUUCAAAUUACAGUGAUGACAAGUUAGGUUCCAUAUUUAACACAAGAUUGAAAAGAAUUGUAAAUGCAGUACCAGAACCAACAGAUGAUCCUGUAAGCAACAUUAACACUGAAAUAUUGAUAAAUAUUGGUCAUAUCUUAAAAAGUGGUAUUUAUCAAAGUUUAAAUUAACUACCUAUCAAAUGCUUAAGAGCUUAAUAGACAACAGAGUGGCUGAACAUUUGAAUGUUGAUGGGAAAAGAGGCAUCAAGUAUCAACUGUACCUAUAAUACUGAUUCAAGUUAACGUAAUUAAAUAUUUAGGUUUAACCAUUGAUAAUAAAUUAAAAUGGAAUCAGUAAUCACCAUAUUGUUAAAUUAACAAAUUCGAUAAAAAAUUCUUCUAUAUUUUUCCUGAGGUUAGAUUUAUUUUUAAUAUACAAAUAAAACGAAUAAUAUUUUUAUAAUUGGUACAAUCUGUUGUCAGCUAUGGUAUAAGUAUAUCUGGGGACAAGCUUUUGACUCUCAUAUUUAUCGUCUUAAAAUUACCUUAAAUAGAUUAAUUAAA